AGAGGAACUGAGAAAUGAAAAAGAUAAAACACAGAAAACAAGGAGCAAAAUGACACCAUUCGUGUGAAUGGACUAAAUUUUCCUAGCAAAAGCUUGAUGAUUCUGCUGCCCUCCUCUGAAGAUGUGGAUGGCGACCUCGCAAUCUCCCUGCCAUUCUAAAGCACUAUUCCCAUCUGUGGGUGCCAUCGCUGCUGAGCAGGGCUUUGGUAUCACAUAGCACAUCUGAAUUUUCAGGACAAGAAUCUGAGGCACUCAUGUAGGGAUCACAGUCAGUGACAAAGCCCUUUUUACCCCUGACCCACCCACAUCCAUGGCAGAUAACAAGCAGAGCCAGGACUCCAACCUCCUAGAGUCCAUCGCUGAGACACUGCUGAGUGGGCUGGACAGGAAGUGGGCACCACCAGUGGACUAGCAUGGAGGGUGAGGCGCAGCAGAGGGGACCAGCCAGCAGCCUGAGGCCACACUGGGGCAAAGCCCAUGUCCGAGCAGUCUUCUCCGGUGACUACUCCACAUCUGUUACUUGGACCUUAGGCAAGGGUGAAAAAGUUAGAGGUGUUGUAAUCUCUGUCCUCCGGGGCUCCCCUGUAGCUCUGGGCCUGCGUGCAUUGUCAGCGCAGCAGAGGUGUGGGACAGGUGUGGCCAGGUGACGCCCUGUGGGAACCGCAGCAGAGCCAAGAAGUACAUGACACCAAGAAAACAAGUUUAAAAAGCACGGAGACUGAGGUGAGAGGUCCUCCAGGUGAAGCAGCCAGGACUUGGAGAGGGCGGGAAGCUUGCCUUGGUGGUGAGCAACCUGUAAUCCCAGCGCUCAGAGACCACCAUAGGAAGACUGUGAGCUACACAGAGAGAUCUAGUCUCAGUAACAAAACAAGGGCAGAUGGUACUGUCUGCUCUGAGGUGGAGUCUUCAAUCCUGUUAGCUAACAAGAAGUAUGACUUUCUAGAUCAAUCCACCAGGUUCAGCUGUCUGAAGCUUUGGAUUUAGUUACUUUUUCCAGCUAUUGAGAGACUGGGGAAGAGAAGUCAUUGGUUUGUCUGUUGAGAUCAAGCAUGUCUGGCGGCUCCCCACUCCCAUCCCCCCAUCCCAGAGUAUAAAGGUGUGUAAGAGAACUCUGAACUUCUUUACAACUCGAUAAUCAUUUUUUUGUUUUGUUUUUAAAGAGUUAUUUAUUAUGUAUACAGUGUGUAUCCAGUGUUCUGCCUGCAUGUAUGCCUGCAGGCCAGAGGAGGGCAUCCGUCUCAUUACAGAUGGUUGCGAGCCACCAUCUGAUUCCUGGGAAUUGAACUCAGGACCUCCAGAAGAGCAGUUAGUGCUCUUAACUGCUGAGCCAUUUCUCCAGCCCAUAAUCCAAUAAUCUUAAAAAUAGGAAACCAGAUGAGAAAAAAGAAUGAAAUCAAGGGAAAUGUAGGCUGCUGCUGUGGAUUGAAUUGUCUUCAGGAUACAUGUUGGAGUCCCACUCCCAAUCCUCAGGCUAUUAUGCCAUCCUUUCAGAUUUAGCCAAACCAGGAUGAGGUCACUGGCACACAGGGAAUGUUGGAGUUUAUGGGAGUUGAAGGGUGUGAAGGGUAUGGAGGGUGUGGAGGGUUAGGGUUAGGGUUUACGUUGACUCAUAAGUUUUAUCAGCCCCACGGCUUCAAAUUUACAGCCUAUAGCCACUUAACCUUGUUGCUUUGGGCCUGUAGCUGAAUAGUAGAGGAGGCUGCUCAUCUCACGGGAACCAGGCAGCUAGAGAGGAAGGGGUUAGACAAGGUAUGUAGCACAGUGUACUUGCCUAGUACACAUGAGGCCCCAGGUUCAAGCUCCAACAUAGAAAUAGGGAUGGGGUUCCAAGAGCACUGUUGUUUUAACAAAGUCUCAAUUGUUCAAUUUUACCAGUAAAGAAGACAGGUGCUGGGGUGAGCCUGCUAGCUCAGAGAUACAGACAGAACACCCAGCUGACCUUCCUCCUUCACUGAUGUCCUAGAAAAACCGCUCUCACCUACGAUGUCUCAAGCAAACAACAAACAAACUUCAAACCGAAUGUCCCUCCUUACUGGUUCCUGUACGGCUGCCCUCCUGACUCCCUCUUACUCUCUGUUUUUUUUUUUUUUUUUCUUGUUCACUUCCUGUCAGUUGUUUGCUUGCUCUACCUAUUGACCUAUGGUUGACUUUAUUUAAUCCUGUUUACAAUAAGCAAAAAGCUCUUGGAUUAAAGGUGUGUGCUAGGGCUGAGCCACACCAUAACUAGAUCAAAUUUCUUGCAAUACAUCCUGGGCCCCGGGAACCUCAAUUUCUUCUACUAAGUCACACCUCCUAAAGGUCACACCAUCUCCCAGCAGUGCUGAGAACACACUGGCCUCUGUGGGAAACAUUUUGUAAGUGAGGACACAGUGAAACCACUAGACUAGGCCACUCUGUGUGUAGAAGGAAAAGUUUAUAGGGGGAGCACCAGAGAGUAGAGUAUAGCAGAUCAUACUAUAUGAUGGUCAGUAGUGUGGGUUUAGAUUAACCAGGAACGAGAUGCCUUCGCUGAAGGUAGUUGACUAUGGGCAGAUAAGGAAGUAGUGACUUUCCUGGUGACAGAAACCCACCUUACCAGAUUCCUGAGGAAUGCUGAGUUUAGGUCUCUGUUUACCCAAAAAUAGCCCAGAUUGUCAUUUUAGGACAUUGUUGGCAGCACUGUCAUUUGGGGGUCUGCUUUGAGCCUAACACAUUCGAGGUCUAAAUUACAGCAAUUCUUACAACAUUACAUUUUACUUUUUUUUUUUUUUUUUUUUUUUUUUUUUUUUUUUUUUUUUUUUUUUUUUUUUUGAGGCAGGGUUUCUCUGUAUAGCCCUGGAUGGACUGAAACCACCUCUGUACAAACAGGCUGGCCUUGAAUUCAGAGAUCCACCUGCGUCUGUCUCCCAAGUGCUGGCCACCACCAUACAGCUACAUUUUAGAUUUUUAAAAUUACAUCUAUCUAUUGAAUUUGUGUAUGUGCAUGCACACACACAUUGCACAUGUGUAGAGGUCAGAGGCCAAGUUGUUAGAGUCAGGUAUCUCUUCACACCAUGGGGGGGGGUCCCAAGGAUCAAACUCACGCCAUCAGGGGGAGCGCUUUUACCCACUGAGCUAUCUCACUGUCCACCACCAUUGUGUUUUAAGUUGUCACAAAUUCUUUUCCACUAAGAGGUAAGGUAUUUGUCCCUUCCCUACAGUAGAGCUCUUUGGAGAGAAACUUGUUUAGUUUUGAUGACACUAAAUCCAAGCCCUGAAUGUUCUAGAAUUUCCUUUCCCAGGUGAUACUGUCAAGCUGUGGGAUGAAAGGAUCUAGUGAAAGGAUAGAGAGCCUUGCUUUUAAAUGUAGUCUGGUGAUGUCUUUCUUGUAGCUGAAGUAUUUAGCUCAUUUAUGUUUGAUGUACUUGUUAAUAUAAUUGGACUUGAAUUGUCAUUUUUCUAUUUGUUUUUAAUUUGUUUCAUCAGGCUUUUACUUACCAAUGUCUUUUUUCUUGAAGUCCUAGGCUUAAUAAAAUCCUUGGCUAAAAUUAAAAUCUCUGAUGC
rnacentral:lncRNA from 1 species